UCAAACAUUUAACCAAAUUCUAAACCACUAACCAAUAAAAGAUAAAACAAACACUUGACUGACUACCCAUUAAUCUUCUUUCCCCAUCUUUCACGUUAUCUUUCCCCACCAUUCACGUUUUCAAUUUUCUCUUUCUUUAAAUUUCUUUGCAGAUCAAGAAAAACAAAUUAUUCAAGGUUCUCAUAAUUUGCUCAGCAAUUCUCUGAAUGAAUUCAAGAAAUCUCUCAAUUGAUAAAGACACAUAAAUUGUAUUGGAUCAAAUUCAUACAAAAUUUGAAUUAAAUCCAUGUGUUGUGCGCUGAAUAAUUAAUUUGGGUUUUACAAAUAAAUAAGUCCAUCUUAUUAAAUGCAAAUCCAAGGUUCAUUUCACCUUGAAGCCCGAACCCAUGCCACAUAUCAUAGUGACUAGGCAUCCAAGACCAACAAGGUGACGCCACGUGUUCAAAUGAGGUGGUAGUCCCAGUCAAAUGCAAGAACGAAUCAAAAUGCACCAAGUGUCAAAAUGAUAUCCUUUGGCCAAUCACAAGCAACCUUGUCCACUCCCUACAACUAUAAAUAAGGGAUGUACAUGACAUUCAAGGGGAUCAAGAAAACUCUUCAACAAGCACUAAGAAAAUUGGAGAAAGCUACAACAUCAACAUGAAUAGUUCUUCGAAGGAGUGAACAACGGAGUUCUUCCCGGAGAGUGACUUACAACGACGAAGCACUUUUUGACGUCCCGAAAAUCGACAACAUCUCAAAAAGGUUUACAUCAUCCAAAAAUUUGGGAAAUACGCUACUGAAGGUCCUCGAUUAACGGAGAAACUUAGGAGAGAGAAUCAAGAAAACAAUGAAAUUGUACUCACAACGAUUCAUUAAUAAAAAUCACAUUUUUUCUUUUAUUUA